ensembl:lncRNA
UUCUCUUUUUGCUUGAGGAAGAUUAUCCCUGAGCUAACAUCUGUGCCAAUCUUCCUCUGUUUUGCACGUGGGAUGCUGCCACAGCAUGGCUUGAUGAGUGGUGUGUGGGUCCACGCCCAGGAUCCCAACUCUGAACCCCGGGCCAACAAAGUGGCUGCUGAACUCAACCACCACAUCACCUGGCCAGCCCCUCAUGUCACAAUUUUUAAGAGCAAUUUCCCCAUUUCUUGUACUAAAUCAUAUUUUCUAGUUCUUUCCAGUAUCUGCUUUCUCCUUCAGUCUUUUCAUCCUAAGCAUAUGUCCUGAGUCAUCUAAGACUCUUUUUCUUUCCCAAAUGAUCUGAACAAUAGUCAUUUCAUUGUCUAACCUUUUCUCUCUUUUCAAUUAUAAUGCUGGAUUUCCUUUUUAUUUAUUUAUUUCUUAAGCUUCAUCUUUAUUCAUUCAUAUUUUCUUGCUGGAUCAGGAGAGACGGCCUCCUUUCUUUUCCUUCCCCCCAAAUCGUUCACCACUAUUUGACAUUUUUACAUAGAACAUGUCUUACAUUCAGAUUACCACAGGCAGAAAGCUUCUUUUUAUUCCUCAUGUUCUUGGCCAGCCAGUUAUAAUUUUGCGUACAUUUUAGAUAUUAUCUGAAUGUUUAUUUGGAAUUGAAGAUAAAGUUUUAUAAUAAGUUAGUUUAGAGUACUCUGGUCUGCAGUAAAAUCUUCUAUCUUACCUACCGCAUUACUUUCUAUUUACAUACUAGGUUGAUUUCUGCUUUUAAUGAUCUUGAGCUAUCCGAUAAUCAAUGAAUGUUUUUGUUUGUUUCCGCCUUUAUAGUCUUACCAUUUAAAUCCCUUGUAUUAAAAGGAAAAUGAUGCAGUAGCUGUCCACAUGACAUGUAGUGAACAGCAUUGUCAGAUACAUAUAAAGGAUGGGGACUGUUGUCAUUUUUAACAUAAAUAAAUACUUUUAGCUCUUUCUCAGAUCAAGCGGUAGUUUCCUUCUUUUUAAUUAAGACAUGUUUUUGUCCUAACAGUCCUAAUCUCAUGGACUGUACUUACUCAGCACUAUAAUAGGGAGGGAUAUAUUUAGAACAGUUGCCCAAUGUGAACUCUAUCUGUCCUGGGAAAAGAAGGUGGAAAUGAGCACAUAAAAUUUAGGUGAAUAUUUUUCUUAUCAAUACUUAAUUGGUUCUUCUCCAUGCUGGGAGUAAUUUAUCCAUGACUGGGACCAGAAAAGUCAAAACCCUUCUACCCUGAAAAAUUCCCAGCAUGUUUGGUGAAGUCUGGAAGUGGAAUAUUUAUUGGAUGCUAAAAUUCUAUGCCCCAAUUUUACCCAAGAACCUCAGGACUUUGUUGGAGAUAAAAUGCAGAUACUCCAGAGCAGUGCAAUUCUUUUACAUUAGUGAGAAUACAGCAUCCAAAAGAGAAUCCAGUGGUGAGGUAAUAGGGAGUCAGUAGGAAAGUUUGUUGUGAGAAGGGGAGUUUUGGAGAGGGAACAAUGAAGCGUUUUAUAUUAAGCCCAUGGUGAAACGCUCAUACGAUUCCAGUGUAGUUGGUUACCAAUAUUAAGUUGAAACAACUCUUGAAACGUAGAAGUCAUCUCAUUGCUUGCUUGUGAUAUUUGCCAUUAUUUCAUAGGUUUGAAAAUGCAAACUUUGGAAAUUCAAGCCCUAUAUAAAUUACAUAUUUCUUGUUAGGAUCAUACGUAUUUUUUUUUUAAGGAAGAUUAGCCCCGAGCUAACAUCCACCACCAAACCUCCUCUUUUUGCUGAGGAAGAUUGGCCUUGCACUAACAUCCACACCCAACUUCCUCUACUUUAUAUGUCGGAUGGCUGCCACAGCAUGGCUUGCCAAGCAGUGCGUAGUUCUGCACCCGAGAUCCAAACCAGCGAACCCUGGGCCACGGAAGUGGAGUGCGAGAACUUAACCGCUGUGUCACCGGGCCGGCUGCAGGAGCAUAUGUAUUUUAAUGACAGCUGCAAUGAAGUGCGUAGUGGUGUCUGUUAACGGAAUCAUAUGACCAAGGACAAGGUCAUUCGCCUGUGUGAAUAAUGGAGAGGAAUGGGAAAAAAUAAUAACAGCAUGCGGGCUUUUAAUACAGAAUAGCCUUGCUCAAAGAGAACCUAAAUUUUGUGCUCUAAAUUAUGCACUAAACAAGAAACGUGACUUUCCUUCAGAACCUAAAGAAUGAGAAUACAGAAAGCAAUAUUUAAAACCAAGAUUUAAAAACUCUUAAAUGUCUUCUUUCAAUUGUCAUAAUUACUGCUUAAUAGAAUUCUGCUAUUUUCCUUAACCCAUAUCAUCCUACUCUUUUCUUACAGAUAGAAAUCUCCAGGCUUUGCUCACGCCCUGAGAAAGCUUUAUGUUCAAUGGCUCUUUAGUGGUGUGUUGAACAAAGGCUCCUUCCUAUAUCCUUCACAUUGAUUAUGUUAUUGAAUACUUGCAGUACCCCUACAUUGUAAGUGGGGCUUAGAAAGUUAAAUAAUUGGCCCCAGGCCACACAACUGUGGAACCAUUUGAAUUCUGGCAGCUCUAUUCCCGAGCCCUGCCUUUGAAUGCUAUCAGGCGGCUCCUUUAAUUCUAUUAGGUAGUUCUCAGAGCAGAAUUCCAAUGAUCUUAGUAUAAGAGUGUCAAGAACAAACUCUCAUCCGUCCACAGAACUAAAAGCAAAGAUAAUACACCAUCUUGUAAUAAGAUUUCACUAAAAAGGUCACUAGUACAUUCCAGAAAAUAAGUCAGGUGGCUUGUAAGUCAGGCAAGUUAGACCCUCCAGCCACCUCCUCCAGCUUUAUCAAUAACAAAUCACAGCUGGAUCACUUUUAUGACCUGUUCUUAAGGGGAGGGGAGACAUUUCAGACAUAUUUGAGCAGAGGAAUUUUUAAGCAGGUAUGAUUGCCUCAUUUGAUAGAAAAGAAUGAGGGAAAUUAAAUGUUUUGAGUGUCUCUUAAAAGUAUCAGAAUGCCAGCAGGGGCUAGCAUAUCCUUUAUUUCAUUUACUCUUGCCACAGAAUGCGUGAAGUAGUCACUGUUAUACUCAUUUGGCAGAUGAGAAAACUGAGAUUCAAGAAAGCUUACUAACUUUCCUAAGACCAUGAAAGGCAGAGCUAGCAUAUAAACCCACGUUUUUUGAUAUUCAGAAUCUACAUCUAUCAUUUUAGGUGCUCUAUUGGACACAGAAUAGGGUUUCUAAUUUUAAGGAUAAAUUUGCAUUAAGCCAUCCACACUCUUAUAUUCAAAAUGCAGACUUUAGUCUUGGGAAAGAAGCCUUCUCCCAAGGAUCUCUGUAAGGAAGUGAAUAUGGCCAACGAGUGAAGAUGUGGAGAUUUCUAGGAUGGUGUCUGGGUGGAUGGUGGUGAUUCACUGAGGAUACGAUUUGCUUGAAAAAUCAACUGCAAAAGAAUUUAAUGAGUCCAAUUUGAGACAUGUUAAAUUUGACGUGACAUUGGAACAUAUCGAUGGAGCUGGCUGGUAGGCAGCUGGGAACAGAGCUCAGGAGUGAAGUUCGGGCUAAAUUUGGGAAUACAGAGUGCUAUAAAUGGCUAUUUGAGUCAGUGAGUGGAUGAGACUUUCCAGGGUUGAAUGUGUAGGAAGAGCCAGGGACCAGAGAUAGAAAUUCUAUGAAUUGCCAAAGGGCUGGGAGCUGAGGAGGAAGAGCCAGUGAAGGAAGCCAUAGAACAUUCAUGGAAGAAGGAGAUGUUUAGAGGGACAAGAGUCUUUGAAGACAAAGCAGAAGAGACUUUCAAGUAGAGGGGAGCUGUCAAUCAUGUGCAGGAUUAAAGAGAAUUCAAAAGGAUGAAAGCUGAGAAGGAGCCACAUGAUAAAAACAUAUAUAGCAUAUAUAGUAAGUCAUUGGGGGACAUAGUAAAAAGAAAUAUAAAUGUGUUUCAUUAAUGCAGUUUCUAGACAAGGUUCUCAAGUCACAGACAAGCUAAGUUUUCACUGUAGACCAACUAUUGCAAGCAUUAGAAACCAUACUGAAAAGAGGAAACUUGCUAGGUAAUUAAGCAUAUGUCACAGAAUCAUUUGAAAUGAGUCAAGUCUCCUGGCAAGCUUGAGGAACAGUAAGGAAGCCUGCGUGCUUGAAGCAGGGUGAAUGAAGAGGAGAGCUGUAGGAAAUGGGGUCAGAGAGAGAACCAUGAGGGUAGAGAGCAAAGGUCCUGAGAGAUUACUAUAUGGACUAAGAUUCCACUCUGAAUGAGAUGGGAAAACUUUUAGGGGAUUUUGAGCAGAAGAAUGAUAUGAUCUGACUCAUGUUUGAACACGAGCACAUCCAGAUGCUAUGUUGGAAAUAAAGUAUGGGGAGAUGGAGGAAAAAGCAGGAAGACCAGUUCAGAGGCUACUAGGAUCCAAAGGGGCAAUGACUGGCUUGGGCCAGUGGUAGUGGUACACGUGGAGAUAAGAAGUCAGAGAGCAGACAUACUUUGAAGACAAAGCCCAUAGAGAAAAUACUAGAAUAGGAAUUGAAAACUGCAUACACACAAUCUUUUUUUCUAGGUUUCUUUUCUGUAAGAAGUAGAUGGGUGGAGGUGGAAGUAGUGUUGAGAUGACUUGUUUUCCAGACUGGGAGAAAUCACAACAUAUUUGUGUGAUAAUGAAAAAGCUGUAGUGUAAGGAGAAAGUUAAAAUGGGCGAAUCGCCAGGAUGAUGUCCUUGAAUAGACAAGAGGGGAAGGGAGCUAUGCCAAGUGGAAAGAAUGGUCCGCUUCUACUCAUUACUCUGUACUCUGACCUGGUCCUUCCCAAACUUUUCAUAUAUGGAUCUCUUUUGUGUGUGUGUGUAAGGAAGAUUGGCCCUGAGCUAACAUCUGUUGCCAAUCUUCCAUUUUUGCUUGAGAAAGAUUCAUCCUGAGCUAACAUCUGUGCCAAUCGUUCUCUAUUUUGUAUAUGGGACACUGCCACAGAAUGGCUUGAUGUACCAUGUGUAGGUCCGUGCCUGGGAUCCAAACCCACGAACCCCAGGUCACCAAAAUGUAGCAUGCAAACUUAACCACUAUGCCACCAGGCAGGCCCCUAGAUCUCUUUUUGAUGCUAACAAUUUUCAAGAACUCCCUAUGUUAGCAAUUAUACUUUGAGUACUCACUGGUGAGGAAAACACAGAAUUGUGACUGUAUUAUUAAUUACAACAGCAAUAAAGUUGCAUUUAAGAAAAAGUACAGUUAUUUGAGAGGCAUUUUUCUUGUUGUUCAGUCUAUACCUAAUAUUUGGUGCACCUGUAGACUACCACAUCCCUUGAAACCCUAAAGAUUCAUGCCUACAUCCAACAGUUUGGAAACAUGCUUUACCAGAACUGCAUCAGCACUUGUUUUCUGAACAGACCUCAGUGCCUUUGCACGUGCUGUUUCCUCCAGGACACCCUUUUGUCUUAUACAUCCUUCAGGGCAUAGUACAACUCCUUCUCCACAAAUUCUUUUCAAUCACAGACUUCACUUCUUCGUUGAUGUUCCAAUAAUUGCUUGUUUUUGUACUUUGAACUACCCAUAUUCUGUUUGUGUGAUAAUUGAAUGCACAACUUACACCUCUGGACCCCGAAACACUUUAAAUAUGUGUUCUGUGGAGAUACAUAUUUGUAUACAUAUCUUCUCUCCUCUACUACCUCAGAUUAUCUCAGCCUAAAAUGAUGUCUUGUUCAUUUUUGUUUCCCAACAAUGGACAUUUUAGUAUCAAAUGGAAGGGAAAUCCUUAAAAAACUCGAUUUUGUUGAUGUUCCACAGGACAGAAUGAGAAUUAGUGGAUGAAAUUAAGAAUGAGAUAGAUUUUGGCUUAAUCAAAGGAAAGAUAUUAUCACAUUUUGAGAUCUCAAAAACGGGAACGAUUAUUAUUCAAAAUAAUGAGUUCCAGGUAACUGAAAAUACGCAAGUCAUUUUUUUCUCCCAACUAUCAUUCAGGCUGAGCACCAUACCAAGUAUGUAAAAUAUAGUACCACACUUAGUCUUUAUAAUUGUCCCACAAAGAAGGCACUUUGAUUAUCCGCAUUUUACUUGUGGUUAAGCAACUUGCCUCAGUACACAGCUAGGAGUAGAUACAUCUCUGAGGUUAUAAAGGAACAUACAAUGCUAGGAAAAUGUGAGUUAUCUAGUAACAUCCUAGGGUUUCAUUAUAGUUUAGCAGGCCUGCUUUCCGGAAGAGCCAAGAGAUGGAACCUGGAGAAAGACAGGAAGAAAUCCAUAGUGAGGUGCUCAAGACAAUCCUUCCUUUGUUCAUCCUCAUUUAUUCUUGUAUCCAAGACAUCCUUGAUUCAGAAUGAGAACAGGUCUAAGAUCAUUUAUGAUGGGCUAAACAUCAAGUGGGGCUUAAGGAACAUGGAUGACCUCUCCAAACGCUGAGGACACUUUAUCUCUUUGGACUCAAGUCACAGAUUGUGUCAUAAUAUUGCCACAAUUCUCAACACGUGCCUGAAGUAUAGUAGGCACUUAACCAAUUUUAUCUCCUUUCUCCUUCACUCUCUUAGUCCACACAUGCUCUGAGAUUUUCUUGAAUUCUGUUAUUACUGUAUUCUAUUAUUUCUUGAGUAGAAAUCAUUUUUAUUUGAUAAUGUGUCAUCUAUGAAUAUAAGAAAAAAUACUGCAUAUUUAUAUGGUGAACCAUUGAUCCAAUUCUUCAUGAAAGGAGAAUGACUAUACUUUGAAAAUCUUCUAUUCUUGACGAUUUGUUCAAGAAAAUAUGUAUUUACUUUCAUAGAGUGGGACUAUGAGGUUGAAUAAAGAAAUAUCUUAUAUGAACUUUCUCCUCAUAUGUCAAGAUGUUUGCUCGUUCAGCAAAUAGGCUGACUUGACAUUUAGAAGAUUGGAGAACAGAUGGGGGCAUUACAGCUCCAUCCUUUUGUGUUUUCUGCUGGUUAUUUUGACAGUCCACUCAGUAUAACCAAAGAAAGCUUUAUUCAAGUGAACAUCGACUUCACUUUCCACUGAACAAUGACCUUAAAAAACCAAUCUUUUAACUUCCUUUGGGGAACCAUGUGACUGACUGCCUUGUCAGCAAGCUACUUUUCCUGAAUCUAAGUUAUUUCCUUUCCUACAGAGAAAAAUUGCUGUUAUCACUUCCAACUCCUUCCCCAAAGGCCCUUUUCAUGUAUAGUAUACGCUUUCUUAAAAAAAAAAAAAGUGAAUGUCUCUUCCUUUUUGCUUAUUUGCUCAAAAAUUGUUUAUCCUAAAGAAAAAUGUAAGGAUAUAAGCACAUUUCAUGUUCUGUGGAAAAAUCAGCAUUUGCAGAGAUUUCCGACCCAAGAGACAGCUAAAGUUUCUUUAAAACAUCUAUUUUAAGGCUUUCAUUUCAAAUAUCUAAACGUAAGAAAAACACGGUCUAGUUAAAGCCAGAGUCACACAAGUACUUCCUGAUUUCUUGAUCUUAUGACCUUUUUUCUGUUUUUAUGCUAUGUAAUUUUUCUCUGACUUUUAACACUGGAACUACUUCUGUCUUGUUUGGCAUUCCUCCUGCCUUGCCUUUUGAGACAUAGGUGCAUCUUGAUUUCUUUUCUUGAUGACUAUUUCUCACCCUUCUUCACUAGCUCCUCUCCCAUCUCUUUCAGUCCUUUAAAUAUCCAAUCCUUAGCAUCCUGCUUUCUUUCUACAUUGCCACAUCCACUUGUCUAGCUUCAAGCCGCAUCAACCCACUGAUUAUUCCCACACUUAGCCUACAGUUCUCUCCUGAACUCCACAUCCAAAUGCCUCCUGGGCAGCUCCUCCUAGAUGUCCCCCAGUCACCUCAAACUUAACAUGUCCCAAAUUACACUCAUUAUCUUCUUCUCAGCCAGCUCUUCCUGUGCUCACUAUCUCAGCAAAAGUAUAUUCCUACACCCAGACACCCAAGCUUGAAAUCGCUGAGUCAUUCUCAACUUAAUUCUACUAUUAAAGAUUUCUCAUAUCUGUUCCUCCUCUUCCUUCCGCAUCGUCGUUAUACACUUAUUUGAUGUACUCACCAACUCUCCUCCAGAUGAUCACAACUGUUUCCUAACUCCCUAGUUUCUUGCCUUCUCUACAUCGAUGUCAGAGACUUAUUAAAAUGACAUUUUGUAUAUCAUUCCUUUGCUUUAAGACCUUUAACAUGUUCCUAUUUCAUAUACAGAAAAAUCCCAAACUCCUUAAUAGAUGCUAUAAAGCCAUUUGCAAUUUAGACUCAACUGACUCUGCGAGUCCCAUCUUUCACCAUAUUCUCACCACCCCACCCCAGAGGCGUCUGCACUAAAUUCACCAUAAUCUUUAUAUCAUUUUGUCCUUGCACAUGCCAGUAUUAUCUCUACUUGAAAUGCUUUCUCCUAUUUUCUUUUCCCUGCCUAAUGAUCGAUGCCAUUCAUUUUUCAAGAGCUAAUUCCAACACAAUCUUCUUUGAAGUCUACCCUGAUUUCCCUAGGCACAUGUUCUCUCACUGUUCUCUCACUUCCUGCCCCUAGCCCCAUACCUCCAUACUUCAUACCUUUAUACAUUCAGGGUCCCGAGUUGUAAAUAUUACACAACAGUAAAGAAAUUUUAAAGAGCAGGGGAUAUACUUUGUAUUACAAGAGUCUAUCAUCAUGUCUGGCUUGUGGUAAACAGUUGGUUCUUAUCUAUUUGCUAAACAAAUUGAAUUAAUAAGUGAUAACAAAAAAAUCUUAAGAAUGGUCCAACUGAUCCCAAAUACUGGGUCUUAAAUGUUUGUAUGUUUACUCUACAUUUUCUUUCUUCCAAAGAACUUCAUUUACUCUCAAUCUGACAAGCUAUUAGUGGGAUUCCUGGGAUUGGCAACUAGGGCCCAAGGCAAGGACAGAGAAAGAAGAAUUCAAUACCUGCCUUGAGGCCACUGGGGUCAGAGCUGACACUUCUAAGAGAUGACAGAUAUGGCUGUUAUGACCAGCCUCCAGCCUCCACAUUCUAAGACUGGGACGAGGCAGACAGGUAGCACAUCCAAGGGUUAUUACAGCGCAAUGUGUGUAAGACGAGAGGCAAGUCCCUCCCCUUCCCAUGGGAAAUGGAAAUAGAGGUGCUCAGUCUUUCUGCCUAAAAGCUCCCUAGGGUUCUAAGAGAAUCAUUCACAAGACUGUUGAUCAUUUCGUUCCCUAGUUGUGCAUCUGCUGAGGAAAAGGGCUUGUGAAUUUACCUGUACAUUAUAGGAGCAAGGGAGAUCGGUCUUG